rnacentral:rRNA from 1 species
GAUCCUGGCUCAGGAUGAACGCUGGCGGCGUGCCUAACACAUGCAAGUCGAACGAAGCACCUUUUAAGAUUCUUCGGAUGAUUGAUUGGUGACUGAGUGGCGGACGGGUGAGUAACGCGUGGGUAACCUGCCCUGUACAGGGGGAUAACAGUUGGAAACGGCUGCUAAUACCGCAUAAGCGCACGAGAGGACAUCCUUUCGUGUGAAAAACUCCGGUGGUACAGGAUGGGCCCGCGUCUGAUUAG